ncrna:unclassified sequences DTF2800 RNA
GUCCCCAGUAUGACGUUAAACUGCUGACUCAUACAUACUGACACCGGUUGCUCAACAGGCUGUGUGGGACAAUAGAAUAACAAGGCUGUCAAUUUGAGCUUGACGGCUGCAAACCGAAUGGAGUGAAAUCCCUUCUGGAGUGCAGUCUGAUUUGUUAUGCCAUUUUGCAGCCGGGUG